rnacentral:rRNA from 1 species
UGGAAGUAAAAGUUGUAACAAGGUUUCCGUAGGUGAACCUGCGGAAGGAUCAUUAAAAAAAA